GAUGAAGAACGUAGCGAAAUGCGAUACUUGGUGUGAAUUGCAGAAUCCCGUGAACCAUCGAGUCUUUGAACGCAAGUUGCGCCCGAAGCCAUUAGGCCGAGGGCACGCCUGCCUGGGCGUCACACGUCGUUGCCCCCCCAUCUACUCCUUCGGGAUUGCGGGGGGCGGAUGAUGGCCUCCCGUGCGCCUCGCCGCGCGGUUGGCAUAAAUGCCAAGUCCUCGGCGACGCACGCCACGACAAUCGGUGGUUGCGAAACCUCGGUUGCCCGUCGUGUGCGGUCGUCGCGCAUCGAGGGCUCGAAAAAAGUGCCGGGUUCCGGCUCGGCUUUCAACGCGACCCCAGGUCAGGCGGGGUUACCCGCUGAAUUUAAGCAUAUAAUAAGCGGAGGA
rnacentral:misc_RNA from 1 species